rnacentral:piRNA from 1 species
UAGUUAGACAAACAAGUUUCAAAUGAUGC